rnacentral:rRNA from 1 species
AAGGGUUAGUGGCGCACGGGUGAGUAACACGUAGGUGACCUGCCCCGAAGUGGGGGAUAACUUCUCGAAAGAGAAGCUAAUACCGCAUAUGCUCAGCCAUUCAGUUGGUUGAGUAAAGCUCCGGCGCUUCGGGAGGGGCCUGCGUCCGAUUAGCUAGUUGGUGGGGUAAUGGCCUACCAAGGCGAUGAUCGGUAGCUGGUCUGAGAGGACGAUCAGCCACACUGGCACUGACACACGGGCCAGACUCCUACGGGAGGCAGCAGUGAGGAAUAUUGGUCAAUGGGCGAAAGCCUGAACCAGCAACGCCGCGUGAGGGAUGAAGGCCUUCGGGUCGUAAACCUCUUUUCUGGGAGAAGAGACAAGGACGGUAUCCCAGGAAUAAGUCUCGGCUAACUACGUGCCAGCAGCCGCGGUAAAAACGUAGGAGGCAAAGCGUUAUCCGGAUUUACUGGGCGUAAAGCGCACGCAGGCGGCUGCGUAAGUCGGACGUGAAAGCUCCUGGCUCAACUGGGAGAGGUCGUUCGAAACUACGCGGCUUGAGGUUGGAAGA